rnacentral:rRNA from 1 species
UACGGAAGGCAGCAGUAGGGAAUCUUCCGCAAUGGACGAAAGUCUGACGGAGCAACGCCGCGUGAACGAUGAAGGCUUUCGGGUCGUAAAGUUCUGUUGUUAGGGAAGACAAGUACCAGAGUAACUGCUGGUACCUUGACGGUACCUAACCAGAAAGCCACGGCUAACUACGUGCCAGCAGCCGCGGUAAUACGUAGGUGGCAAGCGUUGUCCGGAAUUAUUGGGCGUAAAGCGCGCGCAGGUGGUUCCUUAAGUCUGAUGUGAAAGCCUACGGCUCAACCGUGGAGGGUCAUUGGAAACUGGGGGACUUGAGUGCAGAAGAGGAAAGUGGAAUUCCACGUGUAGCGGUGAAAUGCGUAGAGAUGUGGAGGAACACCAGUGGCGAAGGCGACUUUUCUGGUCUGUAACUGACACUGAGGCGCGAAAGCGUGGGGAGCGAACAGGGAUUAGAUACC